rnacentral:lncRNA from 1 species
AGAUUCUUCUAGAAUCUCUGGGGAAAUGCAGUACGUGCCGUUGAGUGAAGCCCUCAGUCCACUGGGCUUAGGAACAUAAGGCACGCUGAACAUUCCCUGAUUACUGUAGAGAUGGAAAUGAACUAAGAGAGCAGUUUCACCAUCUACCUGCUUCCUCAGAAGGGUGCAGGGAAAAGUCAGGCCCUCUCACACCCUGGGUGGCACUUCUGACUUCUAGUUCUUGUUCACAGUGUGUACCUUUACAAAUCGGUUGUCCCCAGAAAGACAUAGAGGUGGCCUUCUCCAGAUCGGUGGGCUUCCUGCCAUGGUUGGCUUCGAUGAUUCCCAGUGUCUAUCAACAUAUUUUCUUCAUUUACUUCUAUACACAGUCAGAAAUUCUCUCCUCGGGGAGAGCUCAAGUAUGCAGUCCUAUGCUUAGUUCUUUCCAACUGGAUCGGAAAUCAAGUCAGAAAAAGUCAGUCUACUAAUUAAGGAUACUAAAGCAGCCUUGCACUUUUAAAUGAAUGAACCCUGUAAGACAAAUCUACGUAAACUCUGAAAGCCAGCUGAUCAGGAUAUGAUGACUGAAGAGCGAUAGAAAGGGACAUUCUUUAAAAUCUUACAACUGGAAAUUUUGUAAGCUUUGCUGUGGAGGUGAAUUGUUUUAGUGUCUAGACAUGGAGCAAUUUUAGUAAAUGCACAAAGGAAAUAAAAAGAUAGGUAGGAAGGAGGAGUUUUUCAUUUGAUAGGAUUAUGGCUGAUUUACCUAAAAAAAUACUCAGUACCUACCUAGGUCAACGGUUGAUCCUAUUCUCCAAAGACUAUCAAGUGCUCGAAAACAUUGUAAAACGAGUCCACUCCACUGAAAAAGUUAAUGCAUCUCUCCAUUAUAAUCUAUUUUCCUGCGGUUAAAAAAAAAAUCCUUUUUUAAAUACCCAUACACGUACCUACUCUACAUGUGCACUUGUGCGCAUGUGCACACACGAACACACACACACACACACACACACACACACACACACCUAUUCACCCUAAGAGUUAG